AGAGUGAAUGAUUGUCUUUCUCUCUGUGUGUUAGCCUUGCAUUAGACUGAACAGCUGUUAAAACCAUGGUGUAACUAGCCUUUCUCCCUAUGACAGCUGGAAUAGGCUCCAGCCCCAUUGCAAACUUGAAUUAGACGAGCAGAAGAAAACGAAUGGAUGAUUUAUAUAUUUUCAAUUGUAUGAUUGGAAGAUAUAUUUGUACAAAUUAUUCUCAGGUUGAACUGGGUCCUGAAAACCUUGCAGACAGUGAAGUAGAUGAGACAGAUGUUCUGUAGAUAUUUUGUAUAUAAAGCACCAGGUGUUUCUGUGUGACCAGUCACUGCUUCAGGGAGCAGAUCAGGGAGACUGGGAUAUGCUGGAAGGUAAUAUGUUAAGAUUUUGCAGAACUGGGUGAGCUGACUUCAGAUCAUGACGUUGGGGAUCAAAGGUUGCCAGGUUUGCCUCUUUGGAGCAGGAAAGAAAAAACAAGUUUACUGUACAGAUGAUGUGCGCGCCCUGCACUGUCUGCAGGAUGUGAAUUCCAAAAAGGCUGACAAUCUUGAGAAACCUUAAUAAUAACAUGGAAUUUGAUCAAGUGUGUUUAUUUUUAUCAUUUUCAUCAUGUGGAUUUUAUUUAUUAAUUAAUUUUUAUUUUUUAUUUAUAUUAGGGGAAAAUCCCAGACCAGUACAAAUUUACACUUACACAGUGUGACACUGCUGCCUACCUGUAAGCAAGGAUGCAGACCGGGAACACCAUGCUAGCGUGAUGAGGAGGAAGGCCGAGGCACCAAAGCUACGGUCGAAUAUGGGGAUAGCAACAGAGCUGUUGGCAAAAUUGGUAUUAUACAUAAGGAGACAGACGCAGAGGAAAUCAACGGCUGCCAGGUCCUUCAGGUAGAUCCCAAUCCUCCUGGAAGCCUGCUGAUGAGCUUGGCAGAAGUGAAACGCCUUGCCAGCGAAGAGAACAGAAGCCGAGGGAGCAGAUUUACAACUGAAGGAAAAAGUUUCAACAGUUUGAGAUUGGUUUAAUUACUCGUGAAAUUCUGCAAAGGAAAAUAAAUUAGGUCCCUGUGUCUGUGAUCCUUUUCCUUUAGUCAAUUAAAA
ensembl:lncRNA